rnacentral:tRNA from 1 species
GCCGCUAUAGCUCAGUGGUAGAGCACUGGUCUCGUAAACCAGGGGUCGUGAGUUCAAAUCUCACCGGCGGCA